AUUGAACGCUGGCGGCAUGCCUUACACAUGCAAGUCGAACGGCAGCACGGACUUCGGUCUGGUGGCGAGUGGCGAACGGGUGAGUAAUACAUCGGAACGUGCCCAGUAAUGGGGGAUAGCUCGGCGAAAGCCGGAUUAAUACCGCAUACGCCCUGAGGGGGAAAGUGGGGGACCGCAAGGCCUCACGUUAUCGGAGCGGCCGAUGGCUGAUUAGAUAGUUGGUGAGGUAAAGGCUAACCAAGGCGACGAUCAGUAGCUGGUCUGAGAGGACGAUAGGCCACACUAGUACUGCGACCCGGCCCAAACUCCUACGGGAGGCAGCAGUGGGGAAUUUUGGACGAUGGGCGCAAGCCUGAUCCAGCAAUGCCGCGUGUGCGAAGAAGGCCUUCGGGUUGUAAAGCGCUUUUGUCAGGAAAGAAAUCCAUUGGGUUAAUACUCUAGUGGGAUGACGGUACCUGAAGAAUAAGCACCGGCUAACUACGUGCCAGCCGCCGCAGUAA
rnacentral:rRNA from 1 species